GGCGCAUGUGGCCUAGUGGUUAAAGUGUCAGCUUUGGUUGCUGGAAGUAACGGGUUUGAACCCCGGCCGUGUCU